AUUAAUACCUAUUCAGACCUAUUAAGAGUUAAAAUCUUAAUAAAAAACAAAUGCACUUAAUGGUCUGAAUUCUGACAAGAUUCAAACCUCCAUUAAGUGAAAACAAAUGAACACUAAUUUAAAUUACUCCCUAUUUGGCGUCAUUUGAUUUAGUUCCAUGUUAGGAAUGUUGAUGCUGGUAUUCUGUUGCAUAUACAACAAGAGACUGAAAGGAAAAGUACUAUUUCCUUGUUGCAAAUGCCAAAUUUAUGCCGGAUGAAGAGGUGCAUUUCCAGGAGCAAAUGUUUGAGUGUUGUCGCCUCUAUGAAGAGCGCAACAAAGAAUCGAAUUUCGGGCUUGUAAUUGAGCCCAAGUACUUAGACAAAUUCCCCAAUAUGACCAAGUGACUGAAGAGACUUGAUGUAGCACUUGUUUCACAGAAUGGACCAUGGACCACAUAAGGGGUUGUCAUUGUUAAAUAAUCGAGACACUAAUUAUUCCAUUGUUUUUUUUGUCUGUAUGCAUCAUCAAAAGAUUUGCGGUCUAUAAUGAGCAAGUUAAAAUCACGGGAAAGAGGUCAAAAUACUCCAAUAUUAUACAAGAUAUCUUAACUAAUACCAUUUGGUGUAGUUUAGGAUCCUUAAUGUUAGCAGAUCAUCUCGUGCUUGACCUUGACCCUGACGAAACUCCAAUCUGAAGUAUACUGCAGGAAAUUUUAAACCAUGGAAAAGUAGAGGGGUACAAGUUGGGUCUUUUUCCCAAUGUACUUUCGAUGUGUGGAAUAACUCCAUUCACGCUGGAGCUUCCUUAAAAACAAGGACAAUUACGAGAAGAUUUCUUAGCAGCACGAAUAUGAACGACCCCAAAGUAUAUAAUAGAUGGUUCAUGAAACUGAGGCUAGACAGAGUUUUACAAGAUAACGAUGAGUCUGGCAGUCUAGAAGAAGCUUUGGCAAGUACUCCGGUUAAGCUUGAGUUUGAAAAUAGCCGGAAAAAUGGACAGCACCAUACCGAAGUAUGAAUACGGGUGUUGGGAGUCUUUCUUGCCCCUGGAUCUCAGAUGUCAAAGGUAUGAUUAGCAGACGUCGUCCAUAGUCCUGCCAUACCAUCAUCUAUUUGUUGCUCGAAGUUGGUCAAUAGCUACAGUAGUGUUUGUUGAUCCGGCAAUGAUAUAUUUUUUGUUAUAUCAUUAGAUUUGUCCCCCCUUACCAUAUUAAGUUCUCUGGUGCAUAUUUAGAUUGUAUAGGAAAAGCAACAACAGCAACCCAGUGUAAUCCCACAAGUUGGAUCUGAGAGAUGGUCUAGGAGAAGAUUGGUCGAGAAAAAUAAUGCAUUUGUUAUUCCUCUUUCACUUGUAAAUUCGUCUUUCCUUAUUUAAAUCAACAGCUCUGUCAUGGA